UAAGUAGGGGGCAAGCGUUGUCCGGAAUUAUUGGGCGUAAAGAGCUCGUAGGCGGUUUGGUAAGUCGGCGGUGAAAUUUCGGGGCUCAACUCCGGAACUGCCGUCGAUACUGCCAUGACUUGAGGCAGGUAGGGGAGUGUGGAAUUCCUGGUGUAGCGGUGAAAUGCGCAGAUAUCAGGAGGAACACCGGUGGCGAAGGCGGCACUCUGGGCCUGACCUGACGCUGAGGAGCGAAAGCUAGGGGAGCAAACAGG
rnacentral:rRNA from 1 species